rnacentral:rRNA from 1 species
AUUGAACGCUGGCGGCAGGCCUAACACAUGCAAGUCGACCGAGUGGCGGAAGGGUAAGUAAUGUAUGGGAAACUGCCUGAUGGAGGGGGAUAACUACUGGAAACGGUAGCUAAUACCGCAUCCCAUCAGAUGUGCCCAGAUGGGAUUAUCUUGUUGGUGGGGUAACGGCUCACCAAUGCGACGCUCCCUAGCUGGUCUGAGAGGAUUACCAGCCACACUGGAACUGAGACACGGUCCAGACUCCUACGGGAGGCAGCAGUGGUGAAUAGUGCACAAUGGGCUCAAGCCUGAUGCAGCCAUGCCGCGUGUAUGAAGAAGGCCUUCGGGUUGUAAAGUACUUUCAGCGGGGAGGCGUUACCCGCAGAAGAAGCACCGGCUAACUCCGUGCCAGCAGCCGCGGUAAUUC